CAAUAGCGUAUAUUAAAGUUGUUGCGGUAAAAAAGCUCGUAGUUGGAUUUCUACCGAAGAUAGCCGGUCGGGUCUUCGACCUUGUAUCUGGUUUUGUCUUUGGUAUCCUCAUAGGGAACGUUUCUGCGCUUUAUUGCGUGGUGCGGGAUCUAUGACUUUUACUUUGAGGAAAUUAGAGUGUUCACGGCAGGCAAACGCCUUGAAUAUAUUAGCAUGGAAUAAUAACAUAGGAUCUUCGUCCUAUUUUGUUGGUUUCUAGGGCUAAGAUAAUGAUUAAUAGGGAUAAUUGGGGGCAUCUGUAUCAACGCGUCAGAGGUGGAAUUCUUGGAUUGCGUUGCGACAAACUACUGCGAAAGCAUUUGCCAAGGAUGUUUUCAUUGA
rnacentral:rRNA from 1 species